CAAUGGAGUAUAAUUUGUAAUAAACCCAUUUAUUCAUAAAAAUAUUUACUUUCCAUUUACCUGGGUGAGAUCCAUAAAACAAUACAUAAGCAACACAUUAUCAUCAUCACGUUAUCACAUAGACUUUAUAAUACAACAUUUAUCACGCGUUUGCAUUUCAAUCUUUAAACAGUAUAAUUCCUCUUUACCAGCCUACUAGUAUCCAUGGGGAUCCAUAGGGGUCCCGCUACCCGUGAACCCUUAACAUUUAUAACCUGAUUCCAGGGCCGUCCCCAUACCCCGUCCGGUAUGGGCGCCAAAACACAUAAGGUCUCCAUACCCUGUCCGGUAUGAGAGGCCACGUUCCCGGUAAGGUUCCCUACGGACCCGGUCUGUCCACCAUCUCCCAGGAUACCUAGUCAGGCUGUCCACAUUAUCUGUUUGCCAAUUCACAUAACCUUUUAUCCCUUUUUCUUUAGUCACCAUCAUCAAGUCACACACAAACAUGCAAACCAGUAGUUCAUGCCAACAAGACAACACACAACAUCCGGUUCUCAGUCAUUCAGUCCAUAAUCAAUGAAACAGUGAUACAUGCACACGAAACUAUGAAAUAAAAACAUCAGACAUCAUACUGCAUUUAAAACUGUAAAAUAGAACAAACAACAACUGACCGACAAAUACACUAGACUCGGGCUCCAUUAGCAACCUUAAACAAUUUCACACAGCUAUUGAUUCAUGAAAUACCAUUUUAUCAUUUAUUGC
rnacentral:lncRNA from 1 species